AUUGAACGCUGGCGGCAGGCCUAACACAUGCAAGUCGAGCGGAUGAAGGGAGCUUGCUCCUGUAUUCAGCGGCGGACGGGUGAGUAAUGCCUAGGAAUCUGCCUGGUAGUGGGGGAUAACGUCCGGAAACGGGCGCUAAUACCGCAUACGUCCUGAGGGAGAAAGUGGGGGAUCUUCGGACCUCACGCUAUCAGAUGAGCCUAGGUCGGAUUAGCUAGUUGGUGGGGUAAAGGCCUACCAAGGCGACGAUCCGUAACUGGUCUGAGAGGAUGAUCAGUCACACGGGAACUGAGACACGGUCCAGACACCUACGGGAGGCAGCAGUGGGGAAUAUUGGACAAUGGGCGAAAGCCUGAUCCAGCCAUGCCGCGUGUGUGAAGAAGGUCUUCGGAUUGUAAAGCACUUUAAGUUGGGAGGAAGGGCAGUAAGUUAAUACCUUGCUGUUUUGACGUUACCAACAGAAUAAGCACCGGCUAACUUCGUG
rnacentral:rRNA from 1 species